UGUCACGGAGUAGCUGAUGUCCCCAUUUUAUUACAGUCGUGUACGGCAGUCAAGCUGGUAGCAACAGUUUAACGGGAUAAAUUAAUUCCGCAGGACGCGACUCGCGACUAAUUGACUUUUCAAUAAAACUGUUUACACCGAAAAAGUAUGCGUAUAAAUUCGCGAAAAAUUCAUACGUAUGCGGGGAUCAUCGGUGGAAACGAUUAACUGCGACAGCUGAGUCACGUGUGGCGAUAAAAAAAGAUGAAAAGAAAAAUUGAAACGAAUCAAAAAAUGAAGAAAUGAAAAGUUUAUUUAUAUGUGGAUUUCUUUCUACUUCCCACUGAUCCAUCUGCGACCAUAUCGAGAGGAAAAUGUUGUUGUUUUUUCUUUAAUUAAAUUACACCGGAACUUAGUGACCUGCGACAACGUCAAACUUGAAGAGAAAAAGAAACUUUAUUUUAAUUGCCCUUUGACCUUUGCAGAUUUCGUGGAGAUAUUAUAGAGGAUUUAUAUAUAAUGUGUAGAAAUAUAUCGCAUCGGUUGUUGUAACUAUGAAAUUAUAUGGCAAAUUAAACGGUGUUUAACUAUUACAGUAAAUGUCAAGGUUGUCGUUAUGUGUAUCCAUAUAAUUGGUGAUUACAUGAAAUCCGAGAAAAUCUGUUUUAGAUUUUCUCUAAUA
rnacentral:misc_RNA from 1 species